CGGACGGGUGAGUAACGCGUGGGUAACCUGCCUCAUACAGGGGGAUAACAGUUAGAAAUGACUGCUAAUACCGCAUAAGACCACAGCACCGCAUGGUGCGGGGGUAAAAACUCCGGUGGUAUGAGAUGGACCCGCGUCUGAUUAGCUAGUUGGUAAGGUAACGGCUUACCAAGGCGACGAUCAGUAGCCGACCUGAGAGGGUGACCGGCCACAUUGGGACUGAGACACGGCUCAA
rnacentral:rRNA from 1 species